rnacentral:rRNA from 1 species
AUUGAACGCUGGCGGCAUGCUUUACACAUGCAAGUCGAACGGUAACAGGCCGCAAGGUGCUGACGAGUGGCGAACGGGUGAGUAAUGCAUCGGAACGUGCCCAGUCGUGGGGGAUAACGCAGCGAAAGCUGUGCUAAUACCGCAUACGAUCCAUGGAUGAAAGCGGGGGACCGUAACGCCUCGCUCGAUUGAAGCGGCCGAUGUCAGAUUAGGUAGUUGGUGGGGUAAAGGCUCACCAAGCCAACGAUCUGUAGCUGGUCUGAGAGGACGACCAGCCACACUGGGACUGAGACACGGCCCAGACUCCUACGGGAGGCAGCAGUGGGGAAUUUUGGACAAUGGGCGCAAGCCUGAUCCAGCAAUGCCGCGUGCAGGAAGAAGGCCUUCGGGUUGUAAACUGCUUUUGUACGGAACGAAAAGGUUUGGGUUAAUACCCUGGGCCGAUGACGGUACCGUAAGAAUAAGCACCGGCUAACUACGUGCCAGCCGCCGCCGUAA